CCGAUGCCCAGUGAUCGAUAGCCAUUGAUCCGGACUCACCGCCGCCAUCGCGAGGGUACAUGGAGGAGAUGGUUGAGCUGGUGGCCACACUCGAGGGCAUGGUCCUACGCAGGGAGGCACAGUUGUCUGUUGCGGGCAUUCAGAUGCCUUCAUGGUCCGGUCAGCCACAGACCAGGCCACCUGGGCCUCAUUGGGGAGCUG